CUAGAGAGAGAAAGGGGGUCUUGGCAAAUGCCUGCAGAAAGUAAGAAGGUUUCUACAGAGCCCUGAGUUGAAGAGAGUCACCAGCAGGGAAGGAGGGCUGCCUGAGGACCCUUCCCAACCCAGGGCGGAGUGUCCAGCUGAGGGAAGUUGAUGGGAUCCAGAACAGCUCCCCGGAGGGGAACUGUGAGACUCCUCUGGUAGGAGGAGAGGACUUUGGAGACACGGAGGAGACAUCUCCACAGGCAGGAGGAACUGGGCCCAUCUGGGGAGUGGGCAGAAGAGCCUGUUUGUGUUUGAACUUUGAAAGGCACUUGAAAGAAAGGACAGAUCUUCAAGGAAGAGGGGCUGGGCCCAGCUUGAAACUGGGGUGAAGACUCUGAAGGAAGCUGGAUACCCAGGACCAGGCUUUGAAGCCCUCAUGUCUGCAGUGUGUUUGUGCCUGAGAGCCAUGAGCUCAUUGAAGACGUAGCCUGAGGCAUCUCCGUCCAGAUGCAGCCGGCAGAGGCCCCUGGUCCGGCUGUCUCUGCAGUACAGUUCAGUGGGUGGAGAUCCUCGGAUGGAAGUUACUACAGAAGCCUUAUCGUCGUUUCUUUUCACCAAGAUGCCAAACCCAUUCCUUACCCCCGCUGCCCCUGGCACCAACUCUCAGCGCCCGCACCUAGCAGCAGUGUGAGAUUUGCCUUCUGCCUUUCUCGCCCCCCGCAGCACGGUGAGUGAGCAGAUCCCUCGGUCCCACCAACGUUUCCUGCUCCUGUGACUCAAUGACGAAACCACAGGAUUUGGAGGAAGCCUUGUCACAUUGCUUGGGAUGGAAAAAACCGCUGGGCUUUGCCCUUUCUCCGAGAAGACAUCUGAGCCGGGUGGUGUCUUUCUUUCCAUCCAGUCAACGCAGCCGCUUGGAAGUUUCCUACCCCCGAUUCUUGUCUGACAUGUUUUCAUAACUAAACAACCAGCUGCUGAAGCCCUGAAAAUUAUUAGCCAAUUAGGGACUGACCUAAUUCCUGUAAUUCUAACUCAUUACAUUUUUAUAUACAUAUAAACAAUCCAAUCCCAAGAUUUGGUAUGAAGAUUCAGAUCUAAUAAUCCCAAAUGCCGGGUUAUUUUCCAUUCUGCCAGGCCUUCCCAACCCAGGCUGGGGGCGGGGUGGGCAGGCAUCAGUUCUGUCCCUCAUAGGACUAUCCAUUCAGAUAGUGAGCCAGACUCCUGUGGGACUGACCAACGCUGGGAGAGGCGAUGGGUCUGUCCCCUUCACUCACUGGUGUCCUGUGUGAGAUGAGUCGGGGGUUAGAGCUAGAUGGAAAAAUGGGUGAGUUGGGGCAGAAAUUUUUUUUUUUAUUUUUUAUUUGCAGCAUAAAUUCGAACGCUGAAAUAUUUUGGCCCAAAACCAAAAGAGGUCAAUGUGGCAGUGGUGCUGCAGUGCAUCAUGGGAGUUGUAGUUUGGGCGCGUCAAGCUUUCAUUCUCCCCUAUAUGCCAGGCUAUCUGCUCAGACUAUAUUCCCCAUGCUGCACCACGGGAAGGGCAGCCUGGUGCAUGAUGGGAGAUGCAGCCAGGUGGAAUUGUGACAUCAGAUGUAGCUGUCCCUGCUCCUUACUCUUCUGCCCCAUUUUAUGAUUCUCUUUCUCACCCGCGCUCCCAUUUUAGCUGCUACGGUAGGUCCAGCUCAGCACUGGGCUCGUGAUGUCAAUGUUAGUUCACCGCCACCCUGUCAUUUUAGUUAGUCUUCCACCUCCGCAGCUCAUUAACCUACUAAAAUCUCGUUUGCUGCAAUGAAAUCAGCAAAUUUAAUGUGAGCUCUAAUCCUGGAAGAAGCGUUGAAGUUAAAAAGGAUCCGGCUGAACUCUGUUACCUGGAGUGAGUCAGGCCUUGGCAGGUAUAACAUCGCCUGAAUGGCACACAGUCCUAACCCUGAAAGGAUCAGCCCUGCGUUCUCUGGGCCCAGCAGACCAUGUUUCCUGCUAGUACAGCUCCUAGCGAAUUUCCUCUCUUCACCGUCUCCGUUAGACCAUGGCUAGCAUCUUCCCGCUCUGGACUCCUCGUCUCCUCCUCGCCUCACUGCGGCUUAGACUGUACCUUUUCUUUGUCAUUAAAAGGGAAAGGAAUCCUUGGUUAGUGAUGCAGGCAGGCUGCUGAAUACGCCAUGGUCUGGUCCUCUUUCCCACUUGGUGCUUAUGUGUCCUUCACUUUCAAAGUGCACUGAAAAUGUUCCCGUGUUGAGCUGGGCAAACAUUUUGGGCUGAAACUUUUUUCCCCCCCAUGGUGAAAAAUGCAGGUUCAGUGAGCCCGAAGUGUGCUGCCAACUUGUGUCGGUUUUGCUGAAACUGUUCGCUUUUUAAAAAAAAAAAAAUCUGAAAAAGUUGAUUUUUCAGGUGGAAAAGACUUUGCAUUUAGACAUUUCCUUCCACUGCAUUUUUUUUCUGAAAUGCAAUAAAUAAGUAAAUAAAUGCUUGAAAUUGAA